rnacentral:rRNA from 1 species
GACGAACGCUGGCGGCGUGCCUAAUACAUGCAAGUCGAACGCUGAAGAGAGGAGCUUGCUCUUCUUGGAUGAGUUGCGAACGGGUGAGUAACGCGUAGGUAACCUGCCUGGUAGCGGGGGAUGACUAUUGGAAACGAUAGCUAAUACCGCAUAAAAUGGAUUAUCGCAUGAUAAUCCAUUGAAAGGUGCAAAUGCAUCACUACCAGAUGGACCUGCGUUGUAUUAGCUAGUUGGUGGGGUAACGGCUCACCAAGGCGACGAUACAUAGCCGACCUGAGAGGGUGAUCGGCCACACUGGGACUGAGACACGGCCCAGACUCCUACGGGAGGCAGCAGUAGGGAAUCUUCGGCAAUGGACGGAAGUCUGACCGAGCAACGCCGCGUGAGUGAAGAAGGUUUUCGGAUCGUAAAGCUCUGUUGUAAGAGAAGAACGAGUGUGAGAGUGGAAAGUUCACACUGUGACGGUAUCUUACCAGAAAGGGACGGCUAACUACGUG